UUAGAUUGUUAGCUGAUCGCUAGUUCUUUAGAAUUAGAGGAAAGUCCGGGCAGCAUAGGGAGUGACAGCCGCUAACGGCGGCCGGGGGCGACCCUAGGGAAAGUGCCACAGAAACGAAACAGCCUCGCGAAAGCGAGGCAUGUAACAGGUAGUAGAAGAACUGAUUACAGAAAUUUGGCAGAUAUCAGGUUGCAGAGUGGAGGUUGAUUUGUCUGAUAUCUGAAAUCUGUUAAUUUUCUGCUGAAUGUCAUCUGUAAUGUCUGUUACGUGCCUCGCUUUCGCGAGGUUAUGGUGAAACGAGUGCGGUAAGAGCGCACAGUCGUCCGUGGUAACACGGAAGAGAGGUAAACCCUGUCUGCUGCAAGGAGUGGAUUAUAUACGUUCCCGCGAUAUCCACGCUUAACCCCGCUUGACCUAGCCAGCAAUGGCUGGGCUAGAUAGAUGAUUAGCCUCGACAGAACCCGGCUUACCGACAGUCUAGCGUA
rnacentral:RNase_P_RNA from 1 species